GCGAACAUCGUAUAAUGGUUAUUACCUCAGCCUUCCAAGCUGAAGAUGUGGGUUCAAUUCUCACUGUUCGCU
rnacentral:tRNA from 1 species